rnacentral:rRNA from 1 species
UGUCAGCCGCCGCGGUAAUACGGAGGGGGUUAGCGUUGUUCGGAAUUACUGGGCGUAAAGCGUACGUAGGCGGUCUAAUAAGUCAGAGGUGAAAUCCUACAGCUCAACUGUAGCAUUGCCUUUGAUACUGUUAGACUUGAGUUAUUGUGAAGUAGUUAGAAUGUGUAGUGUAGCGGUGAAAUGCAUAGAUAUUACACAGAAUACCGACUGCGAAGGCAGAUUACUAACAAUAUACUGACGCUGAGGGACGAAAGCGUGGGUAGCGAACAGGAUUAGAUA